AUUGAACGCUGGCGGCAUGCCUAACACAUGCAAGUCGAACGAGUGGCGGACGGGUGAGUAUUGUCAGGGAAACUGCCUGAUGGCGGGGGAUAACUACUGGAAACGGUAGCUAAUACCGCAUACCAUCGGAUGUGCCCAGAUGGGAUUAGCUAGUGGGUGGGGUAAAGGCUCUCCUAGGCGACGAUCCCUAGCUGGUCUGAGAGGAUCACCAGCCAACCUGGAAUGGAGACACGGUCCAGAUUCCUACGGGAGGAAGCAGUGGGGAAUAUUGGACAAGGGGCGCAAGCCUGAUGCAGCCAUGCCGCGUGUAUGAAGAAGGUCUUCGGGUUGUAAAGUACUUUCAGCGGGGAGGCGUUACCCGCAGAGGAAGCAACGGCUAACUACGUGCCAGCCGCCGCGGUAAUAC
rnacentral:rRNA from 1 species